rnacentral:pre_miRNA from 1 species
AGCGAGGUUGCCCUUUGUAUAUUCGGUUUCUUGACGUGCAGUAUACAAGGGCAAGCUCUCUGU